GGACUUGGAAGGAGGCCACCUUGUGCUGCUGACACCGCGUCAGCUCUAGGCAUCCGCCAGAGCACCCCUCCUGGCAACUUCUUCCAACAGCCCCCGCCCGCGGGUGGACCCCAACUCCCCUCUCUCACUCAGAGCUUAGGCGGCCCCCGGGAGGCACAAAGACAGCUCAGUCUCCCUAAACUUUGCGCUGCCAGUGAUGCCCCCCCCCCCCCCUUCCCUGGCCUACACCGCGCCCUCCCAGGUUCUUGGCAGGAAGGUUAGGCCAACUGGCAAAAUCCUCAGGCGAGAGCCAGCUGAUCACAAAUGCCAACUGUGUGUGUCUUGGGGCCAGUGACGUCCUCUCAUCUGCCAGGGCUCUGGGGAGACCAUUUCAUUGCUCUCAGGGUUCCCUGGAGACCGCCCUGGGCAUGGACCAUCCCCCGCCCCCACCCCCCCCCCCCCCCGCCCUUACCCCCACUUGGCCCGCACAGAUGGGAUGCUGCUUGCUGAGCGGUGUCCUUAAAACUAAGUGUUCUGUCUCCCCUGGAGCUUUCAAGUCAAAUUGUAAAAAUUCCAAAUUUGGAGACAGGCAGAUAUGGUUUCUCCCAUCACCAGGGAGGAAGGACCAUGAUGCUAGGUGGUUAGCCCUCGGUGGGAAAUGAAUGGUCUUCUAAUCAGAUACUAACUUUUGGAGGAGGUCUGUGCAAGUUCUGAGGUCCCUCCCCAGCCAGCCAGCCAGCCCCCAUGACCUUUAAUCCGUUUUUAGUUCUUCUGCCACAGGAAGCAGCCCGACGACUAAAUAAAAGAUUUGAUCUUGCCAUAAUUUCCCAAAGCAGAACUACUCAUCCUCACCUACUAUUUGGUGAUACAAGUAUGGCCUUUCUGAAUCCCCUAAUUCCUGACUAAUCAGAAUAUUCCAGAUGUUUGGCCAUGGUGAUUGGCUCAAUGGUCCAAUAGUUUCCGGAAGUGUCCCUGAUGGAACUUUUUGCUAAAACCAUCCAGGAACAGAAUUAUAUCCCCAGUGCUGGACACACACAGAUGAUGCUAACAUAAAUUGAAAGAAAAAGGGAUACUUUCCAGGUUACCAAGUGGAUGUUGGAAACUGCAGAUAGUACGGAACCCCAGAUAUGCCAUGAUUGCUCCUAUACAUACAUA